UAUCUAUCUGUUUUAUAUUUUGUAUUUUAUAUUUUGUAUUUUAUAUUUUAUAUUUUGUAUUUUAUAUUUUUGUGUAAUGAUAAUGCUCUUAGACGUGGGAUUAUAGUCAUUUAGUAAUACAAAUUGUGAUAUUUAACAACAAUACAUAUGUCAAAACAUGAUUACAAGCUAUAGAGACAUUGUAUUUUGACUACGCGAAAUGUGUGUUACAUACUGAACGCUUGUUUAAAGAGCAUUAUCGCGCGCUUAAUAAAUCACGCAAAUCCUUUGUGGCCAAAUUGGGUGACGGAAAGUGCGGUUUCUUGGGGGUAAGGGCCCCCAGAAAAGCUGGAGAAACAACAUCAGGGUGAGAGUAAGGGCCCUCACCGUUAUGGACAUUGAAUCUCAUGUCCGAGCCGGGCUUCCCCGUGGUGAAGUGACCGAGAGAUGCGAAGAUCAGGACGAGGGUAAGGGCCCCUGCAGUUAUGGACCUUGCUCUCUUUUGCCGGUGUGUGCUUCACCGUGGGCGAAGUGUGGCCGUGUGGACACCACUUUCCGUCCCGCUUUCUUUAUUUCUUCUUGAAUGUAGAAAAAUAUUUACAAGCUGAUCAAACAGAACAAAUAAGAUAUGAUUACAAUUGAUUUCUUAUAUUUAAUUAAGUUCUAUAGUUCCUGAUUAUUGGGAUGCUUCUUCUUCAUCCAAGGGUUGGGUGGGUGGGUGGGAUUUUCCUUCUAUGUUGUCUCGAAGACCGUUGAAACCAGAGUGAACUGAGAUAAAAUUUGGCUAGCUUUUGCUGAUAACUGAAGAAUGUCGGCUUAGCAAAAUGGAAUUAUAUUGACAAUUUGGCAUUGACACAUGGCAGGUGUUGCCCGGAGAGCAAGGCGGUUGUUUUCUUUGCUUAUCGUUUCCGUUUAGUUUUCGGUAUGGAUGUUGCCUCUUAUUAAUUCUAAUUUAUUUUUUAAAAUAAAUUGCUCCUUAAUAAAUCACGCAAAUCCUUUGUGGCCAAAUUGGGUGACGGAAAGUGCGGUUUCUUGGGGGUAAGGGCCCCCAGAAAAGCUGGAGAAACAACAUCAGGGUGAGAGUAAGGGCCCUCACCGUUAUGGACAUUGAAUCUCAUGUCCGAGCCGGGCUUCCCCGCGUGGUGAAGUGACCGAGCGAUGCGAAGAUCAGGACGAGGGUAAGGGCCCCCGCCGUUAUGGACCUUGCUCUCUUUUGCCGGUGUGUGCUUCACCGUGGGCGAAGUGUGGCCGUGUGGACACCACUUUCCGCCAUUGAUCGAAACAAAGUGUAGAUCCCCCACGAGAAGCAUGUUGGUCGGGAAAAAUUAUAAAUAGUUAAUAUGAAGUAUUUAUAGUAUGGUAUAGAUGUAUGUUUUAUAGUAUGUAAUGAUGGCGUGCUGCGCAAAUAAGAUAUAUGGUGUCCACGAGAUACUAACACUUAUGCUACGGCUGGAUAAUCAGGGAGGCCAGGAAAAAACCUGCAGUACAGGAAAACCUGGGUAGGGCCAAGACCACCAGCAGCUCCCCACAUAGCUUUAUCUUUACAAAAUUAAGAAAUGUCAGUAUCGCGCUAGACACCACUAAGCUAUUCUGUUAACGCAUGCGUUAUUUGUUUUAUUGUUUUUGGUUUGUUUUCGUUUUCUUUUCUUUUUUUUUUGUUAUGAAACUACGCUUUUGAGCAUAAAUAAGGGAACUAAACGAUCAGAAUUAAUUUGUCGCAAUCCAAAGCAGAACGCCACCGUACAGUAGUAGUUCAGGUAAUAGAAUGUAGAUUAUGUCAUAAAUAGUUCAUAUAUACGUAGAGAGUUCAUAGCCAUUAGGACGUAGGAGUGAUCCAGAUUGGUGAUUGAAGGCGGAAACCAAGAUGGCGCAAAUGCUGAGAUCGUCUUCGUGUCCUUCCUUCGUUUGUAGCAGAAUGACUAAAAGAGAGACGGAGAAAAGCAAAAACUGCUCUGUGUAUAAUCAUGAGCUGGUCGAUAAUAGUUGUCUCAAUGCGCGAUGAAUAAAUUUGUACCGGGAUGCGAGUUCUCUUCUACCCCUUAAUUUGGCUUUGUCUCUGCGAGUGAUUAUAGUGAACUGUGAAGUAUGUUUUGUUCUAAUUGCAUGUGGGGUGUAUACGCGAUGGCAUAAAGUAGGAAAUAACCUCGGAAAUAACAGUGUAUAGUAUUAGGAAUUGUCUUGAUCUGGUGAAAUAUGCCGUAAACCUUUUCGUUUUGGUAGUUGGUACGCUAGCAAUAUAAGUACCUACUAUGUACAGUACUGGGUUUUGUAAGACGCCAUGCAAAUGCAGGUGAUCAUAAUGUCAUGCUGUAGUAUUUCAAUUAUUAUCUAGCGCUUGUGGUAUAAAAUGCGAAGAUCGCUGUUGACAUAUUUUGUGAGACUGGGGUUUUUGUACAGGAGAAUAUAUGUGUUGUAUUUUACAGUUAUAUGCAGACGUCAUGACGUGCAAGCAAUUUUCAUGCUUUCUAUAUAUUUACUAUUAAAUUUUCGAAAUCUCGGUCGCGCUAUUUCCAAUCUUUCCAGUGAGAAAUAUGCGGAAACCCAUGAAAGCGGAAUGUCAGUAAUAAAAUCGUCUAACCCAGCUGCAUAUACUUCAUGCGCUCUGCCGCGUCCAAAUACCGAGUGUGGCAGAAAUGCGGCUAUCUUUAAAACGGGGAACGGGGAAUGGGGGAAGGGAACGGGGAAGGGAACGGGGAAGGGAACGGGGAAGGGAACGGGGAAGGGAACGGGGAAGGGAACGGGGAAGGGAACGGGGAAGGGAAUGAGCGGGGAAUGGCCGGGGAAUGAGCGGGGAAUGGCCGGGGAAUGAGCGGGGAAUGGCCGGGGAAUGAGCGGGGAAUGGUCGGGGAAUGGCCGGGGAAUGGCCGGGGAAUGGCCGAAAUCGGGAAAAAAACUAACAUUUUGAAGAUUUUUGAUUAAAUAUUUUCAUGAAUUGUUUUCGUUGCGUUAUGGCAAAUGUAGCAUUGAAGUAAAUCGAAAUUACAGUAAUAGGAUUAGGCGACCGAAGCUAUGUUGUUUGUGUAAAUGUCGUCAAGUUCGUUUCGUUUCGUUGCGUUAUGGCAAGUAAUCAGCCGGACCGCACAUUGUAAGUAUAUACAACGCAAGACAAUAGACCUUGUUAUAUAGUUUUUGUCAAAGUUCAAUUUCUCUGUUCGACGAUUGAUCAAAACCGUAUCACGUAACAAUAGAGAGGUUUAAGAUACCCCGAAAGCACCACUGCCAAUUUCUUCAACAUGUUCUAGUGAUUCCCAACUAAAUGUGGGUAAACAGUGAUCUAUUUUUCGCCUUUUUAUUAGUGAAGGAAAUUUAAAGCUUCCCUGUACUCCAGACAUUUUGAAUGUCGGCAACCAAAAGCUGUUUGCUGACGUAUUACACUAUUUUAUCUCACCUUUUGUCAUUUGAGUAUGUGGCACUUUGGGCAUAGUUUUCAAUGUGCGCUUCCUAUCUAAGCACAAUGUAAAGCUUAGUAAGAAUGUAAGAUCAAAUUUCGAAAAAAUACUGGAUUGAAAUGUCAUCAUUACAAAUGAAAUUUUUAGCAUAGAACUGGACACUGUGGACAGCAAGAAUUUACCCGAAGGUUAAAAAAAUGUCGUGUGACACAAAUUACAUUUAAUGACAG
rnacentral:lncRNA from 1 species